rnacentral:rRNA from 1 species
AGUCGUUCUGCCCAUUGUUUUUAAAAGGCUGCGGUAUAUUAACUGUACAAAGGUAGCAAAAUAAAUAGUUUUUUAAUUGAAAACUUGAAUGAAAGAGUUGAUAAAAUAUAAAUUGUUUCUAAAAUUUAAUUUAAAUUAAAAGUUAAAAUGCUUUUAUAUAUUUAUUAGACGAUAAGACCCUAAGAAUUUGAUUAUUUAAAUUAUUUUGAAAAAUUUAUUAAAGAUGAAUUAUUUAAUUGGGAGGGUUAUAAAAUAAAACUUUUAUUUAUUAAAAUAUUAAUAAAUAAAUUUAAUGAUUAUUUUUAAGAUUAUAAGAAUAAAUUACCUUAGGGAUAACAGCGUUAUAAUUUUGGAGAGUUCAUAUUGAUAAAAUUGUUUGCGACCUCGAUGUUGAAUUAAAAUAAAAUUUAAAUGAAGAAAUUUAAAUUUUUAGUCUGUUCGACUAUUAAAAUUUUAC